rnacentral:misc_RNA from 1 species
CACCUUUGGCAAAUUGACCAAAUGGGGCGUUAGUUGAAUCACUGAAUCUUGUUUUAAUGAGGAACUGUUUGAUGCCGUUUUCUCAGCUUCCUUCUUAUGCUCUUAAAAAGUUUUUCAGUUUCUAGUAUCUUGAUCUGAAUGAUAGCAAGUGGAAUUAUUCUUUUGCUAUGAAGCCAUGACUUACAUUCCUGCACCUCAUGGUUAUUUUACCAAUACAAAUAUGUAUCUAGGAGCUCUGCUAUUUCCAAUGUGUAGUAUCCUCAUAGGAUCACAGGCUUACAUGUCUAGGAUUCAAGAAAUUAUAGAAUAAAGUGGUUAUUCCAGAUAGUAUAGUAUAUAUGGAAUAACCACCAGCCAAUAAAUUAAAAACUGACACACACUCGUAUAUAUAAGUGGGCCUCAGAAAAUUGAAACUACCCAAGCCCUUUUUUUUUUUUCAAUAAUUGUAAUUGUUUACAUGUUAAUUUUUUAUUAGCUUGCAAUUCCACAUGUCUACAUGGAAUCACUGUUUCACAAUAAAAUUUCUCUUUGGAAUCACACAUAAAGAUAUCAUUUUCUCUUGUUAGCCAGCAGCUGUACGUGCAUUGUCGUUGUCAAAAGAAAAUUAAUAUUACAGUUAGUUGCAGUUCUUUCUCUCCUGCAUUAGGAAAUUAUAUGAUUUCCUUCUUAUGCCAUCAUUUCAAUUGAUUAUCCUUCAAAUAACACUUCCUUUGAAGUUCAUAGGGAGUAAUUGUUGGAUGUAUUUCCUUGAUAAGAGAGAAGUAGCUGUGGUUCUACUCCAAAAGGAUGAAAUAAAUGAUAUUAA